AGUGGCCCUUAUCGAAGCUGCAGUUGCUUCCACCGAUGCUGCGGUAGUCAAAAAAGAGCCCAGGGUGAGUUUUCCCUUGACGGUCGCCGUUCAGUGUGCUAUAACCAACCUGCAACAUUUCAGGAAAAGACAUUU
rnacentral:snoRNA from 1 species